rnacentral:sRNA from 1 species
UAGAUAUACCUUCGAUAUGUCCUGUGUC